rnacentral:rRNA from 1 species
GAUGAACGCUGGCGGCGUGCUUAACACAUGCAAGUCGAACGGGAAACCUUUUAUUGAAGCUUCGGCAGAUUUAGCUGGUUUCUAGUGGCGGACGGGUGAGUAACGCGUGGGUAACCUGCCUUAUUCAGGGGGAUAACAGUCAGAAAUGGCUGCUAAUACCGCAUAAGCGCACAGAGCUGCAUGGCUCAGUGUGAAAAACUCCGGUGGUAUAAGAUGGACCCGCGUUGGAUUAGCUGGUUGGUGGGGUAACGGCCCACCAAGGCGACGAUCCAUAGCCGGCCUGAGAGGGUGAACGGCCACAUUGGGACUGAGACACGGCCCAGACUCCUACGGGAGGCAGCAGUGGGGAAUAUUGCACAAUGGGGGAAACCCUGAUGCAGCGACGCCGCGUGAAGGAAGAAGUAUCUCGGUAUGUAAACUUCUAUCAGCAGGGAAGAUAAUGACGGUACCUGACUAAGAAGCCCCGGCUAACUACGUG